CGUGCAGGUGGUUUGGUAAGUUGGAUGUGAAAUCUCCCGGCUCAACUGGGAGAGGUCGUUCAAAACUGCUAGGCUAGAGGACGGUAGAGGAAAGUGGAAUUCCCGGUGUAGUGGUGAAAUGCGUAGAUAUCGGGAGGAACACCAGUGGCGAAAGCGACUUUCUGGCCCGUUCCUGACACUAAGACGCGAAAGCUAGGGUAGCAAACG
rnacentral:rRNA from 1 species